UACGUAGGUGGCAAGCGCUGUCCGGAUUUACUGGGCGUAAAGAGCGCGCAGGCGGUCGUUCAAGUCGCGUGUGAAAGCCCCCGGCUCAACUGGGGAGGGUCACGCGAUACUGAUCGACUCGAAGGCAGGAGAGGGUAGUGGAAUUCCCGGUGUAGUGGUGAAAUGCGUAGAUAUCGGGAGGAACACCAGUGGCGAAGGCGACUACCUGGCCUGUUCUUGACGCUGAGGCGCGAAAGCUAGGGGAGCAAACGGG
rnacentral:rRNA from 1 species